GUUCCCAAGGCAGGAGAACCCCAGAGGACGCGGAGGAAGCCCCCAGGACGCAGGUGGUGAAAGGAGAUCUGCAGGCUGUGUGAAGGACACUCACACCUUGACUUCCACAGUCCUCCUUCGCUUCUCAGCAGUUUUGGUGGCUCCAGACUCAGUGGCUCUCCUGCUCUCUCCAGCUCGCAGGUCUGUCCUUGGCUACAAAGGGCAAAGUGUGGCGCCUGGUGGUAGGGCCAGAGAGGAAUGAGCGUCGUCACCUCCCACAGGCACCGAGAGGUUUGGCUCCGUGGUUUUGUGCGGGAAGAAUUCCCCAGCCUUCUCUUUUGUUUUUCCCCCUUACUAGUAUUAUUUUCAGCUGUUUACCCCAUGAAGGAAAAAAAGUAUUUUCUUCAUUACUGCACCUGCUACCAAAGUGACUCAUUUACAGACUCAUUUUGGCAGAGGCUGCAGCAUCUGUUAUCAUUUUUACCUGGUCCCCAAGGGCAAAGCUUCUUACCUUGCUGGCUUCAAAAUAUUGUUGAUUGGAGAUCACAGAUUGGAAGGGGACUCAAGGGCUGUUGGCAACAGGAUGGGACCGUGGACAGUUCACGUGCCUGCCUCUGUCAUGAUAGGCACCCAGAAAUAGUUCCUGGAUGGCCAGUGACCAAGUAGGGGAAGUCAUCUCUUCACACGCUCCCAGCAC
rnacentral:lncRNA from 1 species